CCCCGUCCCUAGGGUUGGCGUACACAACAGGAGGCGGAAGCCCAGGUGGGCCGAGCUCCUGCCCCUGUUCUGUCGCCCCUCCUCUAUUCGCUUAAGCCGCCUCCCUCUCUCGGUCUUCUCCAGUUCGCGAAUCACAGGAGACUGAAUUCCCCUCUCACUCUCCAGCCCUUGGUUUCGCACGUUGGAGCCGAGCCCGACGCCAGCCUAUUCAGUCCCAUUCGCAAACUGCAGCGACUUUAGGCGCCGAUCCGUCGAUCCAUUGUCCUAGCCGAACUCCUCCCAGGCAGGUGCUUCUUUUGGAGAGCAAAGGAGAAGGAGCUUUGGAGCACUAGGCGAAGGAGCAUGGACAGUCGGAUCCGAGCAUCAAUCACCCCAUUCAGUCUGAUGGGGGCGCUACGGGUGGAACCACCGGGUCAUAGCCCCGGUGCUGCUAGGUGCUCUGUACUUGUUGCAUCAAGCCCUGAAAUUAUCAUUUGGAAGUUAAAUGUUGAACUGUGUGUUGGUCUCUUCAUUUGGAAGUUAUCAUGGGCAUCUUAGCACCUAUAAUAUAAGUCGACAAAGAGAAUGCCAUCCUAAAACACUCCUUCAGAUUAGUGAUGAGAUAUGGAGAUAUUCAUAGUCAUGAUUUGGAACUUUUUUAUUCCAUUUACCACACUACAUUUUCAUUUUGUACUAAUAAUGCUUAUAUUGCAUUUAUGGCAUUUCUUUGAGGUUCUUGAGAUCUCUUUAACUAUGUAUUGUUCGAUGAUUCCGCCAUUCAGUGUUACUUCUAUCCUCAUUGUUUUAUUUAAACUCGAUGGGCUUUUGGGCUUUUAGCAGAUAUCAAUCUCAGUUUUUUAUUA